CUGCCGGAGUCACUCCGCGUGACCUGUCCGACCUUCUGCACAUAAGUCGGAACCACCUAAUGUAGUUUGAACGACUCAUGGUAAUAUUCGCUCUAGUGCUUCUCUCAUCAAUCAUCUGUAUACAAUAACCUAAGGUCACCCACCAGUCAUAAUCUCACUAACACUCUACGACUGGCCCGUCGUACCCACUCCGCGUGGACUGUACGACCAGCAUCUACUUGGAUCCAAGGCGAGCGUGCGAUGCGGUGAAUACUAUAAGCACUAAACCAUGGUGCAGGAUAUGAGCUCAAUAUAUCAUCAUCAUCAUCAUAAUAUUAAUUAAAUACUUACCUGUGCUUCCACAGCACCAUCAUACAUAUAUGCAUCAUACGACAGUUCAUAAUAUCCAUAAUAUUCUAUGCAUGGCAAUCACAUCAUAUUUCACUUCAAUAUACUUUUUCAUUUAAAUUUGAUUUCUGGGGAAAUCGAGUAUAUAGGUAUAUAUAUAGAAAGCAAUGCCCACUCACUGGUAUGUCGCCGGGUCGUAACCCCCUUGACGCCCCUGGAUGUGCUCGUCCUCGUUAAAAGUUCCACCUAGAAGUGAAAUAACUUAAAACAAUCAUUUAACGCACAAUUAACGCACCUAAACCAAACUAGGUAAUUAAUUCUUCAUACGAUGCUCAAAUUGGGUAUAUGAAUAUACCACAGUGACCUACACAACCUCAGGAUCAUCCCCAUAUUUUUAAAAUAAUUUUUGGAGUCCUCACGCGCCCCCACGCGCCUGACGUGGCACGGACCUACGCGCGGCCCACGCGCGGACGUGACAUGCACACUGACGGCUACAGUGAACGGCGUUAGAGAAUAUUCCGUCAAAUCCUAGAAUAUUCCGUUAAAAACUAACGGUUUCCAUUAAAGUUAACUAACGGCGUCGGAAUAUUCCGUCAAACUUGACGGAAGAUUCCCUGUCUUCUCCGGCGAGUCACCGGUCGCCGGCGACUGUUCGCCGGUUUCUGGAAAAUUUUCAAAUCCACUAUUCUCCUUCGUUUUUCAACCAAUUUCUUCGCAUUUUAUACCAAAAUGAAGCAUUUAACAAGUACUAUCACGUUGGAAGGGUUUUAAGGCCUAAAAACAACUAGAUCAUACCUUCCAAAAUUCUUCAAUUUCGGCCAAACUCGAACCCGACGAUCCCGACGUCCAUUUUGUUCAAACGAGGCACUCCGAGCCUCCUUGGAACUUCCUAAGACUCGUGGUGAUCUUGCUUUAGCCUAAAACACAACCAAAAUUAAGUUCGUGAACAGUGCCAUUACACGGGGUGUUUUAAAACUAGGGUUCUCGAAAUAGAACUUACCUAAAACUGGUAUUCCCGUGCUCGUGAGGUUCCCAAGAUCACGAAGAUGAUCUUAGAUUGGACGUUGGUGUAGGAUUGUGAUUGUUCUUGGUGUUUGUCCGAGAGCUCGAGUGUAAGAGAGAGAGAGAGUGUUUCUGAGGGAGUGUGAGAGAGACUGAGGGAGAGACGAGGAAGAGAGAGAGAAUGAGACAUGGAUCCAGAGAUUAGGGAAUGAUUUAGGGGGUAGGGUCCCACCUAAAGUCCAAACACAGAUAAAUUAACACAUACUAAUAUAAUUCUAACCCUAGUUUAGGAUCUUAGUGUAAAACAAAUACCAAAUUUACGCACCUUAAUCCCGUUUAAGGGCGUUUUAGUAAUUUCACGUCCUCGGUAUUUAGUAACUCUGGGACGGGCUGUGACAAUCUCCCCUCCUUAUAGAAUUUCGUCCCCGAAAUUCCAAUCACUAACCAGAACAUCAAAAGUCAUAGAAUAACCUCGGAUACAUAUCUCUCAUCCGAUCUUCUGUCUCCCAAGUAGCUUCUUCAGCUGAAUGGUUUCUCCACAAUACUUUCACCAAGCUCACGGUCUUAUUCCUCAAGGUCUUAUCUUUCCAAUCCAGUAUAGUCACUGGUUCUUCAUCAUACGUCAAGUCCGGAUUAAUUUCCAAUGGUUGAGGAGGAAUCACAUGUGAAGGAUCUGAAACAUAAUGCCGAAGCAUCGAGACAUGGAACACAUUAUGUACCUUAGACAACUCUGGAGGUAGCUCCAACCUGUAAGCAACUUCACCAAUCCUCUCAGUGAUCUCAUAAGGUCCAAUGUACCUGGGACUUAGCUUUCCUUUCUUUCCAAAGCGAACCACACCUCUCCAAGGCGAUAAUUUCAGAAAAACAUAGUCGCCCACAUUAUACAUUCUGUCCGUGGUAUGUCGAUCCGCUAGGCUCUUUUGUCUAUCCUGGGCCACUUUCAGGUUAGACUUAAUUACCUGAAUAUUCUGAGUAGUCUCAUCCACAAUCUCUGGCCCUUCAAGUAUUCUUUCACCAACCUCUGACCAACAUAAUGGCGUACGGCAAGCUUUACCAUAAAGUGCUUCAAAUGGAGACAUUCCAAUACUCGAAUGAAAACUAUUAUUGUAGGCAAACUCCAUCAAAUCCAAGCGAUCAUGCCAAGAAUCACCAAAUUGCAUCACAGAGGAUCUCAACAUAUCCUCGAGUGUCUGAAUAGUUCUCUCCGACUGACCAUCUGUCUGUGGAUGAUAAGCUGUACUGUAAAGCAAUCUGUAGUACCCAAAGCUUCUUGAAAAGCUAUCCAAAACUUAGAAGUAAAUCUUGGAUCUCGAUCAGAAAUAAUAUUCACUGGGACACCAUGAUACUUUACAACCUUCGAUAUGAAUAACUGAGCCAACUUAUUUAAAGAAUACUUCUCCCUUACUAGAAUAAAAUGUGCUGAUUUGGUAAGUCGAUCUACAACCACCCAAAUGCCAUCAAAACCAUUUUGUGUACGUGGCAGCUUAUACACAAAAUCCAUCGUUAUAUUCUCCCAUUUCCACUGGGGAACGGGAAGUGGUUGCAAUCUCCCAAACGGCUUCUUUCUUUCAGCCUUAACCUGCUGGCAGACAAUACACCUACUCACAUACUCUGCAAUCUCCCUCUUCAUACCCGGCCAAUAAUAGAAUGGUCGAAUGGUAUGAUACAUUUUAGUUCCUCCUGGGUGCAUAGCAUAAGCCGAACAAUGUGCUUCAUCCAAGAUUUCUUUCUUCAGUUCCUCAUUAUUAGGCACAUACAUCCUGUUCUCUUGCAUAAGCAUACCAUCUGAUCCUCGGAUCUUGAGAUCUUUCUUCUUCCCUUCAUUUCUUAAAUUGAUCAAUUCUUGAAUCUCUUCAUCCCACGAUUGAGCUGCAAGCACCCGAUCAAUUAAAAUUGGCUUGACUUGAAAACUGGCAAGAAAAGCUUCACUUUGCUCUUCCCAUUCUAACUCUACUCCAGUAGAUCUCAACUCUGCCAGAAGAGGAACACGACUGGCAUACAAAGCAUUAAGUCGCCCUUGAGGCUUCCUACUCAGAGCAUCAGCUACCACAUUUGCACGACCCGGAUGGUACUCAAUCGUGCAAUCAUAAUCACUUAACAAUUCCAACCAUCUUCUCUGACGAAGAUUAAGAUCAUGCUGAGUGAAAAGGUACUGAAGGCUUUUAUGAUCGGUAAAGAUCUUACAUUUCUCGCCAUAGAGAUAGUGUCUCCAAAUCUUCAAAGCAAACACAAUAGCUGCCAACUCAAGAUCGUGAGUCGGAUAGUUUCUUUCAUGAGUCUUCAACUGCCUAGAAGCAUAGGCAAUCACUCUACUAUGCUGCAUCAAAAACACAACCCAAACCAUUCAAAGAAGCAUCACUAUAGAUCUCGAAGUUACCAUUAUCAUCAGGAAGUACUAACACAGGUGCAUGAGUAAGGCAAUACUUCAACUGCUGGAAACUUUGCUCACAACUUUCAUUCCACUCAAACUUAACAUCCUUCCUGGUUAACUUCGUUAAUGGCAAGGCAAUCAUAGAAAAGUCUUGAACAAACCGUCUAUAAUAACCUGCCAAACCAAGGAAACUCCGCACCUCAGUGACCGUUCGAGGUUGUUCCCAAUUUUCCACUGCUGCUAUCUUUUGAGGAUCCACUUGAAUUCCUUGAGCUGAUACCACAUGUCCCAAAAAUGCCACUUGAUCCAGCCAAAAUUGACAUUUACUAAAUUUGGCAUAUAACCGGUGUUCCCUCAAUUUCCUUAACACCAAGUUAAGAUGUCGAAUAUGGUCUGAUUUCGACUUAGAAUAUACCAGGAUGUCAUCAAUAAAAACAAUAACAAACUUGUCAAGAUAUUCCUGGAAUACUUCAUUCAUCAAUCUCAUGAAAGCUGCAGGAGCAUUCGUUAAUCCAAAUGGCAUCACCAAAAACUCAUAAUGCCCAUAACGAGUCCUGAAAGCUGUUUUAUGAACAUCCUCAUCUUUAAUCUUUAAUUGAUAAUACCCAGACCUCAAAUCGAUCUUAGAAAACACACAGGCACCUUUGAGCUGAUCAAACAAAUCAUCUAUACGAGGCAAUGGAUAACGGUUUUUAAUCGUCACCCGAUUCAAUUGCCUGUAAUCAAUGCACAAUCUCAAAGUUCCAUCUUUCUUUCUUACAAACAACACUGGAGCUCCCCAAGGUGAAGAACUAGGCUGAAUGAAACCUUUAUCAAUUAACUCUUGCAAUUGAAUUUUCAACUCUCUUAAUUCCGCUGGUGCCAUUCUAUAAGGAGUCAAAGAGAUAGGAUUCGUACCUGGAAGCAAAUCAAUCGAAAAUUCCACAUCUCUAUCUGGAGGCAACCCAGGUAAAUCAUCUGGAAAUACAUCAGGAUAGUGUCUGACUACUCCGACUUCCUCCACACUACCGGAAUCAACAUCAUUCAAAACCACAUGUGCCAAGUAUCCCUGACAACCCUUGGAUAACAAUUUCUUCGCCCUUAUGGCGGAAAUAACACCAUGCCUCACCCCACUUCUUUCACCCACAAAUGUAACCUCGGGUAGUCCAGGACGAAGAAAAGUAACUGAUUUCCCGUAACAAUCUAUAUGGGCGCGAUUUAUAAUGCAACCAAUCCGCCCCUAAAAUCACAUCAAAAUCCACGAUGUCUAACGGGAUAAGAUUAGCAGGCAUAAUGACAUUAUCUACCAUCACUGGACACCCAGAGUAAAAACUAUCAACAUAACAUUUAUCCCCUCUAGGCAUAGCAAACUCUAAAUCAAACCCUAGAGGUGAAGGAUGAGGUUGCGUUAUUUGAGCAAAUGUAUGAGAAAUCACAGAGUGUGUAGCACCACAAUCAAUCAAGACUCUAGCAAAAUGACCAAGAACAUUCAACGUACCCAUAAUCAAGUCUGGAUGGUUCUGAGCAUCUUGCAGCGAGAUGUGGUUAACACGUCCCUGAGCUGGCUGUCGUCCUCCACGACCUCUGCCACUCUGGUUACCUCGUCCCUGAUGAGUACGUCCUUGACCUGCCUGGGCAGGCGGCCUAAACGACCCUGUACUACUAGCAGCAACUCCGCUCUGUUGGGGCUGACCCCCCUGAUACCACUGAGAUCCGCUAGCAGGCAUAGACGGAUAUGAAGUAUAACCUCCUUGAUCCUGAGAAUAUCCACUCUGAAAAUAAGGAUCCUGGGAAUAAUGAUACUGUCCCGGAGCAUAAGGAGCAGCAUCACCCUGAUAGUGAUAAGCACCACCACGACCACCUUGGCCAUAACUGCCUGAAUUAAAGUUCUGUUGAGUCGGUGCUGAUGUUGGCAUAACAGGCUGCUGGGGCCUCUGCUGAUUCUGGGGACAAUACAUAGCUCUAUGUCCUGUCUGACCACAUGUAAAGCAUGCACCACUGCUUCUCCUACAUUCCCCAUGAUGUCGGAAAUUACAACGGCGACAUAACGGAGGACCCGAACUACCAGUACCACUAAAGCCUCUCUGACCAGAAAAUCUAGGUCCAUUACCAAACCUACCACCUCCUCUCCUCGGACCUGUGGCACUAAAUCCACCACUGGAAGAACUCGAACUCAUUCCACUUUUCUUGAAAUUCUGCAUCUGACGAGGUCCUGGAAUGGAAACACCUUUACCUUUCUCAUUUUUCUUCUGACCAUUACUCUUAUCCUCUUCAUCCUCACUGUCCGGAAGAUUAUCAGAGUCUUCCAUCCUGACCAGAAUCUCAAAAUACUCAUGAUAAUCGGCACAGGGAAGUGCAUUGGCAAACGUUCUGUACUUCUUCUUAGAUCCUAGCUUGAAACGACGAAGCAUUUCUGCUUGAUUACCCGCUAAAUCAGAAUCAUAACGGGAUAAAUCAGUAAACUUCCUGUAGUACUCAUGUGCAGACAUAUUUCUCUGCUUCAGACUGGUGAAUUCCUGUUUCUUGCGAUCUAUAUAUAUUCCGGAGGAACAAAUCUCUUCAUAAAAUUUUCUUUUAAAUACCUCCAUUCGGCUGCCCUUUCAGGAGUCAUGUGCCUCGACUGAUUUAUCCACCACGCAGCUGGCUCACGGCCCAAAAACCAAGUGGUAGUCUCCACCCAUCUAUUAGCUGGCAGGUUUCCCUGACUUUGCAUCACUUGAAAGGUCUGCUCAAUUCGAUCCAACCACUUUUCUGCCCCUUCAUAACCUUCAUUUCCCUCAAAGGUUUCCAGUUUCAGAUUAUACAUCGUCUCUACGGGCGUUCUCUGAGGAGGACGGAUAUUAGCCUGAAAAGCUUGAGCCAUUGCUGCCCCUAACUGAGUUAUAUCGGGGAAAUUAGGCUCAGCAGCACGGCGAGGAUCUCUACGAGGCGGCAUAAUUCUGACAGAAAACAUCCAAAAAUCAAAUAAAGAACUCAUUAGUUAUACAGGACUGCAACCUAUGCUCUGAUACCAAACUGACACACCCUAACCGAAGAAGAAGACUAGGACGUGCUGGCCGUCACGUGAGUGUGACGUAACCAUAACGCAAGCGGAAACGAUUUAAUAAUAAAAUACGAGUUAACGAAAACCACUAAUUGCAGUUAUUUACAACCUAGCAUUCUAUGUGCAUAAGAGUGUACUAAACACACAUAAACAGAGCAUAAGCAUCUAGGUGCAGUCAAGUAGGAACAUAACUAAUUUACAACACCCUCGGGUGAAUCCUACAUUUAUUUAGUCUGUCAGAACGCCGAAGCAGUCUCGUAGGCCACCAACGCCUCAACUAUCAACUAGAACCUGGAGGGGCGAAAAACAGAAAACGUGAGUGGGCGAAAAUAAAGCUUUUCCAAAUCAUUUCACAAAUCCACAAUUAUAACCCCUUUUUGGAAAACCUGUAUACUUUCCCAGAAAAAUAGUAUAUAGCAUAUAUAUAUCUCAACUGUCUCAAUCAUCAAUCUUAUAACAGAUUCAAUAAAGAAUGUACCAUGCCAAUUUCAACAGUGUAGUAUGAAUGCAUUAACAUAAUAUAAUCAGGUAAAAGAUAGAAAUCAAUCGGAGGCCCUCUAAUAGCCCUGAACGAUUGAACCUAGAGCUCAACAUCUAUCAAUCUCACUCUCUGCCGGAGUCACUCCGCGUGACCUGUCCGACCUUCUGCACAUAAGUCGGAACCACCUAAUGUAGUUUGAACGACUCAUGGUAAUAUUCGCUCUAGUGCUUCUCUCAUCAAUCAUCUGUAUACAAUAACCUAAGGUCACCCACCAGUCAUAAUCUCACUAACACUCUACGACUGGCCCGUCGUACCCACUCCGCGUGGACUGUACGACCAGCAUCUACUUGGAUCCAAGGCGAGCGUGCGAUGCGGUGAAUACUAUAAGCACUAAACCAUGGUGCAGGAUAUGAGCUCAAUAUAUCAUCAUCAUCAUCAUAAUAUUAAUUAAAUACUUACCUGUGCUUCCACAGCACCAUCAUACAUAUAUGCAUCAUACGACAGUUCAUAAUAUCCAUAAUAUUCUAUGCAUGGCAAUCACAUCAUAUUUCA
rnacentral:lncRNA from 1 species